UACGUAGGGUGCAAGCGUUGUCCGGAAUUAUUGGGCGUAAAGAGCUCGUAGGCGGUUCGUCGCGUCGGCUGUGAAAUCCCGGAGCUCAACUCCGGGUCUGCAGUCGAUACGGGCGGACUCGAGUUCGGCAGGGGAGACUGGAAUUCCUGGUGUAGCGGUGAAAUGCGCAGAUAUUAGGAGGAACACCGGUGGCGAAGGCGGGUCUCUGGGCCGAUACUGACGCUGAGGAGCGAAAGCGUGGGGAGCGAACAGG
rnacentral:rRNA from 1 species